UACGGAGGGUGCGAGCGUUGUCCGGAAUCACUGGCGUAAGGGCGCGUAGGCGGUCUGCUAAGCGUGUGGUGAAAGCUCGGGGCUCAACCCCGAGUCUGCCAUGCGAACUGGUGGACUGGAGCACUGUAAGAGGCAGGUGGAAUUCCGGGUGUAGCGGAUGGAAUGCGUAGAGAUCCGGAAGAACACCAAUGGCGAAAGCAGCUCUCUGGGACGGUACUGACGCUGAGACGCGGAAAGCGUGGGGAGCGAACAGG
rnacentral:rRNA from 1 species